GGGAUCGGCUCUCUCCUGCGGCGGAGGCAUGGCGCAGCGACUCAGCUAGGCGGAGUUUCGCUGAGGCUACGCCUGGCUUGCGCCCGCGGGCGAGGAGGUCGGUCAGUCUAGCCCUGUGGUCGCGAGUCCAACUCCGGGCGUCCCAGAGGCAUGUAAGGCAGCGAGUGCGCACCCCGGUUCCACUGUGCCGCGCCGGCAGCCUGCAGCCAGCAUGAAGGACAGCCUGAGUCGCGCCGAUCAGCAGUAUGAGUGCGUGGUGGAGAAUACCGAAGGCGCCUAAGAGAAGGUGUUCAAGGCCCACGAUGUGAAGAAUGGCGGCCGCUUCGUUACUCUGAAGCGCGUGUGAGUGAAGACCAGUGAGGAGGGCAUGUGGCUCUCCACCAUCUGCGAAGUGGCGGUGCUGAGGCACCUGGAGAAUUUGAGCACCCCAACGUGGUCAGGGCCUGUUUUGAAAGAGAUUUUUUUUUCCUAACUAAUCAAGGAUUGGUAAAAAUGGUGAAGGCUCUGUGUGUAUGUGGUGUGUAUGGUAUGGUUUGUGUGUGUGUGGGGGGGGUGUUUGAUUGGAAUGCGAAUUUUUUCAUAGGGAAACAAUAAGGAAGUGUAUUUCUCUAUUAAGGGAAGAAAACUAGUACAUCAUGCAAAGUCAAAUUUAUUAGAAACUCUUUUGGUAAGUAGAAGGAAGACAAGCUAAAGAAUAAAUUAAUUAAUGAAUAGAAUAGAAUAGAAUAGAAUAGAAUAGAAUAGAAUAGAAUAGAAUAGAACAGAACAGAACAGAACAGAACAGAGCUGGGGAAGUCAUAGGCCUCAAGUUGUGAGAGCUUAUCACUAAUAUUUAGCUAACUUUACACAAUGUCAGAUUGUCUUCUCAAUGUCAGUGUUAGUCGUUUCUAAUGACUCAAGUGAUCAAAACUUUGUACUUUACAUAAACUUAAAGAGAAUUAGAAGUGUCAGAGAGCUGUCCUGUAACUGUUCUAUACUAAACCCAGAUAAGAUGUAGUCAAGACUCACCAAAACGAAUGGCGUAUCAGAAAAAAAAAACUUGAUCUUUGGUUAUUAUACAAAAUAGUGAAUCUGGAUAUUUGGAAAAUGAUUUCUGGUAUAAUCAAUGUUAGAAUCUGGGCUCGGUUAUAACAAUGAUAUUUGAGAAAUCAUUUAUCUUCUGACAUGUUAACUUAUUUCUCAUUCAAAUGGAGAGAUUGAGCCACUUACUGAGCAGAAUUUUUCUAAAGAUGAAAAAUAAAUGUAGGUUUCAUGGCUUUGCAAACUAUAAGGGGUUGAAAACAAGUAAGUAUGCCUAUGACAAUCCCUACUGCAACAAGGCCUGAAGCUGCAUUGUUUGUCUGAGUUAAUGCAGAUGCAGUGACCCCACCCUUUGUUGGAGCUUACUCUUCCAGAUAUGGAUUCCUGUAACAAAUGAUUUAACACACUUGCUCUGAUAUUCUAUAGCCAUUUAAAAAAUAGAAUUUUGCCCUUUCUAAUAAUAAUACAUUAGCUUUAGCCUGAUGACUAAAUUUUCAUGUCAGUAAUAGUCUUCCUUCAUACUAUUUAUUAAUGAUGUUCUAAAGAUUAAUUAGUUGUAUGCCAAAUGCUAUAGUACUUAAUGGAGGUAAUUGAGCAAGACAAAAUAAAAAUGCAUACCUUUGGUGAAUUACUAGAUAGAUGAUUAUUAUGAAGAGCCAAAGAACCAACAGCAUAUAUCACCAGUCUCUUAAUAUAUAAAAAUUCAUUAUCUUAAAGGUAAACUUAUGGUGUUUUUAUUAUAAGAAACAAUUGAACAUACUUCAAAAUUUACAAGCCAUUUUCAGAUAAAUAAGACCAAAACUGUCAAUAUAGUGGAUAUUUCAAAUCAUAUAAUAUCCUUGGGAUUGAAAUGAAUUGCUAAAAAGGGAAUGUUUCUAUUUGUAGUAACAUAAAUGGAAAACUAGGAUACUGCUAUACUUUAACAUUGAAAUAGAUUUUGCAGUUUUGAGAUGGUGUAUCAUAGUAGAAAUUGUUUCUUGCACAUACAAUAGUGAUCCAUCCAUUGGAAAUAAAUUCACAUUAUAUAAGUAAUAAUAUCAUAUAUAGCUAUUUUGAAAUAAUGUUCUUACUUUUCAAUUUUCGAUAUACAAUAUUUAUUAUUUUAGAUACAUUUACUACAAGUAAAAGUGAGAUUCUAAUAGCAAAACUGUGAUAAUACUAAGUGAUUAGCACAUUAAAAUUUCAGCAAAUCACUAUUAGUUUACCUAUAGGAAAGAACAUUUUAUUUUAGAAUGACUUAUACUUUUUAAAUGUUUUUAUAUUACACACACAAACACACAUAUUGUCAUAUAUCACACAACAUUGGGCAAAGAUUAUGAGAAAUAUGUCAUUAGUCAAUUUUACAUUAUGUGAACAUAUGAGAGUAUAUUGGCAGAUAAUAAAGGUUAUAUUCCAAGACUAUAGGAUAUAUCCUAUUCUAUUAAACUACUAAUUUGUAUGGAAUACUGUAGGCUACUGUAAACCAAUGACUAUUGGUGUCUAUAAACAUGAAAAAGAGCAAAGGUGAAAAUAUUGUACAAAUGUAAGAUAUACCUGUAGAUAGCCCUUACCAUAACAAGAACUUACAGAUUUACACAUACUUCUUGCUGACAGGUAGCAUGAAUGAGGAGUAUGGAACUAUCAGAUAUUAUCAUAUUCUCUUGUNNNNUUUAUAAACAUUGCAGUAUGACAUAGUGACUAAUGCAAAAUCUCAGGUUGAAGUACAAAAGCUGAAAUUUUAGAAGUUCAUAAAAUAAUCAUCAAAAGUUUAGCUAAAUUUCAUACCGAACUAACAACACACUCCUCUGAACCUACACAUGGUUAGGAGUAUAGCUUAUAGCUAUACAUCACCUCUUUCUUCUCAUCUCUUUCCAUGGAACUUCUUCACAAUGAAACAUAUGUGGUUCUGUCCUGUUCUUUCUGGAUCCCAGACUUGUUUCUAGAUCACUGUUGAGGAUGUCCAUGAAGCUCUUGCUGAACAGGUGCCACUGUCUUCAGAAAGAUAUCAAGGUCAAGUUUCCCUUUUCAUUUUCUGUGGGAUGGUGGGCUGUGCACAGACAGCCUGCUCCCUGGGUGACCAAAGGUCUGGAACCCCAGUGAUCUGGUGGGUGGUAAUUUCCACCUGCAUGGGACAGAAGGUGUUGCUUCAUGCCUUCUGGGUCCCUGUUUCCUGUCAUGUAGCUACAGCCUCCCACAGCCCCCACCCUGCAGAGAGGUAUGUGGUCAUUAGUCAUGUAGGAGUAGCACGAGCCCUCCCACAUGCAAAUCAGGUUUCCCCAAAGCUCUCAGACCAAACCAAUGAGAGAUACCUAUUGUCAGACACCCACCCUGAAACUUUAUAUAAGAACCCUAUCCAGAAGGAAUAAAGCUGUGCAAGAACUACUCUGUCAUCGGAACCUUCUGUCCUAAGAGCUGUUAACCCUUAGGAAGAGGUCUGUUCUCUGGAAGUGAUGCCUGAAGCUCCAUUGCACUCCUCACUGACUAGUCAGUCUUGUGUCAGCCCAGCCAGACCUGACUCAGUGCAGGGUGGUGUGGAGUAACCAAGUAACCUGGAAGACACAACAAGACAGAGGUGGAGCCAAAUGUAGCAGCAGAAGUGGUGGAAGCAACUUCCCCUCCCUCCCGGCACUUGUUACCCUUCACUGGAACUCUAGAACCAAGCAGGGCCAGGGAUCUCCGUGGAAGCCUCUGGUACACAGGCCCACAAUUUUGUGUUAUAUACUUGCUUGUUAACUUAUCAUGAAUAUUGAACAUUCUUCUUUAUGGAGGAAGGUCUUUCUGUGUUGAGAUAUAUGUUUGGAAAUAUUUAAGCAUCUUCUUGAGGUAAGUGCAUUUUCUACCUAUUCUUCUUUAUAGUUAUAUUUUCUCUUAUAAUUUCUUCAGUUAUGUGUUCAUCACCAAGUUCUAGCCACCCUCAAUUACUUGUGAAAUAUGAGUAAAAUCUGCUUCAUUUAAUUCUCAUCCACAACCAAGCUAAACUUGUUUGCCAUUGCACCCACAAAAAAUCCUCUGUACUCAUGGAAAAAUCUAAGUGCUGUAAAAUUAAUAAAUAAAAUGUAGUAAUUU
ensembl:processed_transcript